CCAGUAAGCCGGGAUCUGUUUCUGGCAAUUGGCAAAAUAGCACUGUGAACUGUGAACUGUGAGCGUGAAUUUGCGCUAAUUUCUUCAUAUUCUAAUUUGUUUUACUAACUUUCGAGAAAUCGUAUUAAAAAUGUGCGACAAUACUGUUAGUGUUGCUUUGCGUAUCCGACCAUUAUUGAAAAAUGAAAUUUAAAAAAAAUGUCAAAUAUGCUUAGAUGUUACACUUGGAGAAUCACAAAUUCUUAUACGUAAUACCGAUAAGGCAUUCACGUUUAAUUAUGUCUUUCCUUCUAACGUUGGACAAGAGGAGUUUUAUAAUAGUGCGAUUAAAGGAUUGAUAAAUGAUAUUUUUCAAGGAUGCAACUGCCGCAUUGCGUGCACUUCGACAUCGCAAUAGCAUAGUCUUUCGGUGCGUGAACUUAAAUGAUAAAUCGCAUAGGUUUAUGCUAGUUUAUGCCUCAUAUCGUGUCAAGAUGUGUCUGCCUAUGAUGAUAGAAUGAAGUUGCGUAAACUAAAGACGUUGGCGUAGGCAUCUGGUUCACCAGCAGCGCAAGGAACAACCCAAGAAAAUAUAGGAGAUUAUUUCCAUAUUCAAUGAUGGAUUUUACUGGAUAUUCACCUGGCAAGCACCAAUUCCACGACGGUUGAGAGCGCACAAGUGGCUGUUAUUCAAAGGCAUACCAUGUCUCUGC